rnacentral:tRNA from 1 species
GGGAAGGUAGCUCAGUGGUAGAGCGCUUGCUUUGCAAGCAUGAGGCCCUGGGUUUGAUUCCUCAGCACCA